GUGAAGGAAUCGACGAAGAAGCUUCCGUUCAGCAUGGUAUCUCAGUGGAAGAAUAUCCGAAGCAAACCUCCGCUACUUCUCUGUUCCCUUUCAUUUUUCAUGGAAAAUUUGAACAGACCUCGUCCACGCCGAUAGUUUCCAGUUUCAUGUGGCAAUGACAUGUGGAGGACGACGGUCACGAGCGCAUUGUCGCAAGCUCACGGGAGGGAGGCACACAUCUCAUCCAAUGGAAAAGCACGCUCCAAAAAAUCCCUAACCCUCCAUGGAGCCAUUGCUAGGGGACGACGAGAUCAACGCCACCCAUCACGACCACCAAGAUGUAGAAG
rnacentral:rRNA from 1 species